AGUCGAGCGCGCCCUUCGGGGUGAGCGGCGGACGGGUUAGUAACGCGUGGGAACGUGCCCUUCUCUAAGGAAUAGCCACUGGAAACGGUGAGUAAUACCUUAUACGCCCUUCGGGGGAAAGAUUUAUCGGAGAAGGAUCGGCCCGCGUUAGAUUAGAUAGUUGGUGGGGUAACGGCCUACCAAGUCUACGAUCUAUAGCUGGUUUUAGAGGAUGAUCAGCAACACUGGGACUGAGACACGGCCCAGACUCCUACGGGAGGCAGCAGUGGGGAAUCUUGGACAAUGGGCGCAAGCCUGAUCCAGCCAUGCCGCGUGAGUGAUGAAGGCCUUAGGGUCGUAAAGCUCUUUCGCCAGGGAUGAUAAUGACAGUACCUGGUAAAGAAACCCCGGCUAACUCCGUGCCAGCUGCCGCGGUAAUACAAA
rnacentral:rRNA from 1 species